rnacentral:rRNA from 1 species
CCUACGGGUGGCUGCAGUGAGGAAUAUUGGUCAAUGGGCGAGAGCCUGAACCAGCCAAGUCGCGUGAGGGAUGAAGGCUCUAUGGGUUGUAAACUUCUUUUAUAUGGGAAUAAAGUGAGGAACGUGUUCCUGUUUGUAUGUACCAUAGGAAUAAGCAUCGGCUAACUCCGUUCCAGCAGCCGCGGUAAUACGGAGGAUGCGAGCGUUAUCCGGAUUUAUUGGGUUUAAAGGGUGCGUAGGUGGUUAAUUAAGUCAGCGGUGAAAGUUUGUGGCUCAACCCUAAUACUGCCGUUGAAACUGGUUGCCUUGAGUAUACUUGAGGUAGGCGGAAUGCGUGGUGUAGCGGUGAAAUGCAUAGAUAUCACGCAGAACUCCGAUUGCGAAGGCAGCCUAC